rnacentral:tRNA from 1 species
AGUUUUAUAUUUUAUUCUAGAAAAUUUUGAAUUGCAAAUUUAAAGAUGGUUAAUUUAACCUAAAACUU